GAUGAACGCUGGCGGCGUGCCUAAUACAUGCAAGUCGAGCGAACAGACGCGGCGCUUGCUCCUCUGACGUUAGCGGCGGACGGGUGAGUAACACGUGGAUAACCUCCCUAUAAGACUGGGAUAACUUCGGGAAACCGGAGCUAAUACCGGAUAAUAUAUUGAACCGCAUGGUUCAAUAGUGAAAGACGGUUUUGCUGUCACUUAUAGAUGGAUCCGCGCCGCAUUAGCUAGUUGGUAAGGUAACGGCUUACCAAGGCAACGAUGCGUAGCCGACCUGAGAGGGUGAUCGGCCACACUGGAACUGAGACACGGUCCAGACUCCUACGGGAGGCAGCAGUAGGGAAUCUUCCGCAAUGGGCGAAAGCCUGACGGAGCAACGCCGCGUGAGUGAUGAAGGUCUUCGGAUCGUAAAACUCUGUUAUUAGGGAAGAACAAAUGUGUAAGUAACUAUGCACGUCUUGACGGUACCUAAUCAGAAAGCCACGGCUAACUACGUG
rnacentral:rRNA from 1 species